UGAGUAACACGUAUCCAACCUGCCGUCUACUCUUGACAGCCUUCUGAAAGGAAGAUUAAUACAAGAUGGCAUCAUGAGUCCGCAUGUUCACAUGAUUAAAGGUAUUCCGGUAGACGAUGGGGAUGCGUUCCAUUAGAUAGUAGGCGGGGUAACGGCCCACCUAGUCUUCGAUGGAUAGGGGUUCUGAGAGGAAGGUCCCCCACAUUGGAACUGAGACACGGUCCAA
rnacentral:rRNA from 1 species